UUCUGUUCGUAGAAUUUGGUUCCAUAAAUUGGUUUAGCAUAGCAGUAUUGCUGAUGAUGUGGUGGCUGUCCAGACAUAUGCGUGCCCACAUUUUCUGAUAAAAUAAUGUCAAAAGCAAAGUGGGACGGUGCAAAUGUUUUUGCUGAGAAAGGUUUCUAUCAAUAUAAUUCUAUAAGGAUAUUAGCUGUGUUGUCUCUGUAUAUGUCUAGCAUCAGGUGUUCAGUGUAAGUUUAUGAUUAACAUGUAAUAGCAUGUCCUGAUGCAAGCCUUCUUGAGCCUUGGUCCAUGUCUACUUUUACCCUUUGAAUGUGUGGCAGAGGACUAACCCAUGACAAAAUCCUUGAGUGGUUCAUUGCUAUUCUGCCGGAAUUUCCGGUGCAUCCAGCCCAGUAACUGCACCACCAGAGAUUGUAGGAGUUAAUAACUGCAUGGAAGAUCACUGUUACCAAGUAUAAUGGAUUGCUCUCCCAAGUCUCUACUUGCCGAAAGUAAGCUGGCUUGAGAGAAACAUAGAGAUAAUUACAAGAUUGCGGUUUUCAAGAUCAAAUCAUGUGAUCACCGGCCAGGGGGGGUCCCCAUUUCUUGAUGUGGGAAGUGAACAGUAUUUCAGAUAGAUGGAUCUGCAUGGUUUUAUCAAAGAGGAUUAUUGACAAAGAAAUACGGAUAUCAUUGAUGUUGAAGCUUAUCGAGAAACCUCCAGAAACAGGGUAGGAUGAUCAUCGGUAAGAAUCUACCUCGUCUCUAUAAGGGACAGGGAGAAGAAGCCUGUGCCAUGCUCUUUUGAGUAGCCAGCAUUUGACUAGAGGGUACAAAUUGAUGACUUUCUUUUCACGAGGAACUUAAAAGGGCAAUAUGAGGUCCAUUACAUGUCGCACAAGUUGUGUUUCUCCUCAUCAUGGAAGGCACACAUGCAAUGCAGCUUACUCCGAUUCUGAUGAGCAAGGCGACGAGAUCAACAGUGAUCUGCGUCGAUUCAUGUCCCGAGGCGUACCCUUUUCACACAGCCCGCGGUGAUGAACUAGACAGCGGUUUUCGCCGAAACACCCAACUCCCACUCACCUCAACUACUGAGGUACUACAGAAUUUGCUCCUUCCUUUCCCAUUUUUUGUUGGUGGUGGGUUUGAUUUGGCUGGCUCUUGGACCUGAAGAUUUAGGACAUCUCUGUUUCCAUUAAAGACCAGUGCCAGACCAGGCACUUUCAUGAGACAUUUGGCUUUCCGAGUUGUGCAAGAAAACACUGACAUUGAAACCAAAGAUAACAUGAGAAAACGACCCUUUUUAGACUUAGGAGGCAUCGGUCUUCUUCAACUCA